GGUAAGAUGGCCGUGCGGUUGAGGCGUGUGACUCGGACUUCCGAAAUUCUCAUGGGGGAAACCCCCCCAGAGUUCAAAUCUCUGUCUGACCA